rnacentral:rRNA from 2 species
GGUUAAGCGACUAAGCGUACACGGUGGAUGCCCUGGCAGUCAGAGGCGAUGAAGGACGUGCUAAUCUGCGAUAAGCGUCGGUAAGGUGAUAUGAACCGUUAUAACCGGCGAUUUCCGAAUGGGGAAACCCAGUGUGAUUCGUCACACUAUCAUUAACUGAAUCCAUAGGUUAAUGAGGCGAACCGGGGGAACUGAAACAUCUAAGUACCCCGAGGAAAAGAAAUCAAC